ensembl:snoRNA
UGGGCCCUGAAUCAAGGCCGUCGGUUUGCUGUAGCCGUUGGUUUCAAGCAGGAGCCCAGAGGAAUGCCUUCCCGUGGUCUGUUGGCUGUUCCAGAGCCUCUUACAGGGAACUGCCAAUUCAGUUGGAAGCAACAAGC